rnacentral:rRNA from 1 species
CCUACGGGAGGCAGCAGUGAGGAAUAUUGGUCAAUGGACGAGAGUCUGAACCAGCCAAGUAGCGUGAAGGAUGACUGCCCUAUGGGUUGUAAACUUCUUUUAUAUGGGAAUAAAAUGUUCCACGUGUGGGAUUUUGUAUGUACCAUAUGACUAAGGAUCGGCUAACUCCGUGCCAGCAGCCGCGGUAAUACGGAGGAUCCGAGCGUUAUCCGGAUUUAUUGGGUUGAAAGGGUGCGUAGGUGGAUUGUUAAGUCAGUUGUGAAAGUUUGCGGCUCAACCGUAAAAUUGCAGUUGAAACUGGCAGUCUUGAGUACAGUAGAGGUGGGCGGAAUUCGUGGUGUAGCGGUGAAAUGCUUAGAUAUCACGAAGAACUCCGAUUGCGAAGGCAGUUCACUGGACUGCAACUGACACUGAGGCUCGAAAGUGUGGGUAUCAAACAGGAUUAGAUACCCGGGUAGUC